UACGUAGGGGGCAAGCGUUGUCCGGAAUCAUUGGGCGUAAAGCGCGUGUAGGCGGCCCGGAAAGUCUGGUGUGAAAACUUGAGGCUCAACCUCAAGCUGUCACUGGAUACUAUCGGGCUUGAGUCCGGAAGAGGAGAGUGGAAUUCCUGGUGUAGCGGUGGAAUGCGCAGAUAUCAGGAGGAACACCAAUGGCGAAGGCAGCUCUCUGGUACGUGACUGACGCUGAGACGCGAAAGCGUGGGGAGCAAACAGG
rnacentral:rRNA from 1 species